GGUUGUGGAUGAGAGGACCCUGCCCGGCCGAAUGACCCCAGCUUGGCUGCUGCAACGUGUCUGCACGGACCCUCAAGGAUCACAAGUAAGAACGGAUGAAAUGAUUUCAGCGAUGGCCACCUCAAAAAAGGUCCAAUCAGGUGUUUGUGAGGAGUCUCAGCCAGCGUUCAACAGCAACAGGGCUCUCCUUGCUGCCCGUGUCCAUACGUAAGAAAUCGGCCCCACGGCGAUGGCUCGAGG
rnacentral:lncRNA from 1 species